UUAACUAAUUUUAUUUGUUAAGUUUACAAAAUCAAAAUGAAAGCCCAAAUAUAUUACAGUUUUAUUAUUUCAGCUAUUAUUUUGGUCAUAUUAAAGGAUAUUACAACCAUUGGAUUCGAUCGUUAUCAAUCAGCGGUAUUAAAUGGAAAUAAAACUGAAAUAAUAAGAAUUUGCAAUUUGUUUGUUAAAACUUGUAAGGAAGAUGUAAAAAAUGGAAAAUUAAAAAAGGAUUGCAAAAGUUUUAACGAAAAUUGUUUGUCUGGAAAACUUAAAGGCUUAUUUGGAUAAUAAUUUAUAAUUUUUAAAAAAAUUGUUACAUUUUGUUAUUACUUUAAAUUAUAAUUAUGUUUA